GAACCCAGACCGAACACAGUCUGGAGGAGACGAGAGCGAGAGCAGGAUCGCACGCCUGGUUCCGUAUGCGCAACAAUGGAGCUUGGAGGCACGCUGUGGUGUUAGAGAAUAUCAAAGCUUGCGUCUUUUGGUGCCUGUUUGUGUCCAGCGACAGGAUGCGCAGCGGCAGCAUCUCCGUGGAUCUUUAACGACCCUAAUGCGGGAUGUAUGUACUUCAAACCGCCUGUGGAUGCAAGGAAAAGUAGUGGAUUCUUAAUUUGGUGGAAGAAAACGCGGGGAAACGAAUCGAAUUGUCAUUUUCUUUCUCUCUCCAUUUGCGGCUUUUCCAUCAGCUCUGCGCAGGAGGAGGUGGAUCGCCAAGAAGUUUGCGCGCGGCUCCAGUAUUUUAACAAACACCGAGCGCUGCUAAAGUGAACAUCUUCCUGUUCCUUUUUUGAUUCUUUCUAACAGAGGAUGAUGAUGAAGUAGUGCUGAGGUUCCUGGAGAGGCAGGAGACCGGGGCUUGGGCGCACCGUGUCUGCGCGUCGAAGGCACAACCUGGAAACGAUCGGCGUCUCUCAAGACGCACCAAAUAAAAACCCCAACACCAAGACCUUCAUCUCGUCCUCUCCUUCUCGCCAUCUGGGUGUUUUUUCCCCCCUUCUUCAGGCUGGUGUGGACUUUACAGCCACGACACAAACUGAUCAUGCGAUGACUGAGCGCGCUUUGGGCACAUUUUCAGAAUCCAUUACAGGAGGUGAAUGAUGGCCGAGGAUGGGGGAAAUCUCUCCGAGGGCUCCGACGCCCGGGGCUCGGAGGGUCGCUCCUCUCUGCCGAGGACUUUCAUCCGGCUCAACGACCUGUCCGGGGUCGGGAUAGGCAGCGGGGAGAGCGCUGAGGUCGCCGUGGAGCCGGCGUCCCCGGUGCCCCCGGCGCCCGACAGGGUCUCCAUAGGCGGGGAGGAAGCGUCUGCGAGCGGCGAGGACACGCUGCCUUACCCCACGCUGGCUCCCGUGGUCUUCUUCUACCUGAAACAGACCACGCGGCCUCGGAGCUGGUGUCUCAAGAUGGUAUGCAACCCAUAUCCUUUUUAAAAAAAAAAAA